GUUNNGGUGCUUGCACUGCCANUAGACGCAGCUAACGCUUUGAACAUUCNGCNUGGGGAGUACGGUCGCAAGAUUAAAACUCAAAGGAAUUGACGGGGNCCCGCACAAGCGGUGGAGCAUGUGGUUUAAUUNGAAGCAACGCGCAGAACCUUACCAUCCUUUGACAUGGCGUGUUACGUGGAGAGAUUCACGGUCCCCUUCGGGGGCGCGCACACAGGUGCUGCAUGGCUGUNGUCAGCUCGUGUCGUGAGAUGUUGGGUUAAGUCCCGCAACGAGCGCAACCCACGUCCUUAGUUGCCAUCAUUCAGUUGGGCACUCUAGGGAGACUGCCGGUGAUAAGCCGCGAGGAAGGUGUGGAUGACGUCAAGUCCUCAUGGCCCUUACGGGAUGGGCUACACACGUGCUACAAUGGCGGUGACAGUGGGACGCGAAGGAGCGAUCUGGAGCAAAUCCCCAAAAGCCGUCUCAGUUCGGAUUGCACUCUGCAACUCGAGUGCAUGAAGGCGGAAUCGCUAGUAAUCGUGGAUCAGCAUGCCACGGUGAAUACGUUCCCGGGCCUUGUACACACCGCCCGUCACAGCCAUGGGAGUUGGUCUUACCCGACGGCGCUGCGCCAACCGCAAGGAGGCAG
rnacentral:rRNA from 1 species